UUAGAGGAAUGGGCAUCGAACCCAUAUUUAAGAAAUCAAAAUCCUUCGUAAUUCCAUUUUACUACCCCCU
rnacentral:tRNA from 1 species